rnacentral:rRNA from 1 species
UACAGAGGUGGCAAGCGUUGUUCGGAAUUACUGGGCGUAAAGGGCGCGUAGGCGGCCCGUCAAGUCCCGUGUGAAAGCCCCGGCUCAACCGGGGAACUGCACGGGAAACUAGCAGGCUUGAGUUCGGGAGAGGGAAGCGGAAUUUCGGGUGUAGCGGUGGAAAUGCGCAGAUAUCCGAAGGAACACCGGUGGCGAAGGCGGCUUCCUGGACCGACACUGACGCUGAGGCGCGAAAGCUAGGGGAGCAAACGGG